rnacentral:rRNA from 1 species
GACGAACGCUGGCGGCGUGCCUAAUACAUGCAAGUAGGACGCAGUUGCGAACGGGUGAGUAACGCGUAGGUAACUACCUAUUAGAGGGGGGUAACUCUUGGAGACGAUAGCGAAUACCGCAUACUAGUAGAUGGACCUGCGUUGUAUUAGCUAGUAGGUAGGGUAAUGGGCUACCUAGGCAACGAUACAUAGCCGACCGUGGAGGGUGGUCGGCCAACCUGGGACUGAUACACGGCCCAGAAUCCUACCGGAGGCAGCAGUAGGGAAUCUUCGGGAAUGGGGGGAACCCUGAACGAGCAACGCCGCGUGAGUGAAGAAGGUUUUCGGAUCGUAAAGAUCUGUUGUUAAGGAAGCGGUACUUAACCAGAAAGGGACGGCUAACUACGUGCCAGCAGCCGCGGUAAUAC